GAAAGUUCAGGUCCUUCUAUCUCAUGGAGGAAACUACUAUUAACAGGCAGAUCUACAGUCAUUCAGACUUAAAAGAUAAAUAUGUAGAUAUCUGAAUAACUUACAUUUUAUUACAUAAAUGGAAUGUCUUUGAUUCUGCACCCCCCAACAACAUAUAUAUACAUUUCUCCCCAUUGUUGGUGUAACCUGGUGUCCUUAACAUCUCUCCAGGUCUGCCCACAUUUAAACAGAAUUUGAUCCUCUGGAGUUUCAAAGCCCCUUUCCUCUUCCUGGCUGCUCCAAAGAUUUGACACUCCGCUCCAUCUGGGACUCCUUGUGGAGUUAUUGCCGACUUCUCACCUCAACACACUCCCCAGGAAGCAGAGUUGUGGAUGCGUAUGUCUAUGUUUUAGCAAAUAUUUUCCUCUCCAGGGGCACAAACCAUGGUGACAUUUUGAGAGAGAGAGAGAGAGAGAGAAAGAAAACAUGCACAGCACCAAGACCCUGAUUGUUUGAGGACGCUCACUAUUCAUGAAAUGCGCUUCAUGGUUCUCUCCCCAAGAAGCAGAGCAUCCUCUUCAGAAGGAAAGGAGAAAGCAAACAAAAUAAUCUGGCUCAAAGCUUCACCAGGGAGAUGGUGGCCAUUGCCUGAGAGGUCAGAGAAAUGGCAGCUGGAUCCAGGAAGAUGAGAAAUUUGAGCAGGCUUAGAAGUUGGCAGCCUACAACACAUUGAUUUGUGUCUUUUUUUUUUUUAAGCCUACCUUUUCUUUGUCUUUUUCUGAUUUAUAAAGCUACAAAACCAAAUAUAAAUCUUUUAUUUGUAAGCCACUUUCCACAUUAUUCAUCUAAUAACCCUCUGUGUGGCAUACACAUUAUUUUUUCCAUAAAUUGAAGCACCAUAGAGGGUGAGAACGACUUGUCCAUUAUUUGGAUAUACAAUUUAUCUAUUCAUUCUUUUAUUGAUAGACAUUUCAGCUAUUUACACUUAGGGACUUUUAUAAAUAAAGUUACUAUGAACAUUAUUG
rnacentral:lncRNA from 1 species